UACGGAGGGAGCUAGCGUUGUUCGGAAUUAUUGGGCGUAAAGAGCUCGUAGGCGGUCUGUCGCGUCGAUCGUGAAAACUUGGGGCUUAACCCUGAGCUUGCGGUCGAUACGGGCAUGACUGGAGUUCGGCAGGGGAGACUGGAAUUCCUGGUGUAGCGGUGAAAUGCGCAGAUAUCAGGAGGAACACCGGUGGCGAAGGCGGGUCUCUGGGCCGAUACUGACGCUGAGGAGCGAAAGCGUGGGGAGCGAACAGG
rnacentral:rRNA from 1 species